rnacentral:rRNA from 1 species
CAAAGGUUUAACGAUCUGUCCACAGUCUCAACCAGAGACUAGGAGAAAAUAUAGUACCUGAUAACAUCCAGGCUACCCUCGACCCGACGGAAAGACCCCGUGGAGCUUUACUUUAGCCUGAUAUUGAAUUUUGGUACAGUUUGUACAGGAAAGCCGGGAGCCAAUGAAAACGGAGCGCUAGCUUCGGUGGAGGCGCUGGUGGGAUACAGCCCAGACUGUAUUGAAAUUCUAACAUACGGCUCUU